AGAAUCAACGCUGGCGGCGUGCCUAACACAUGCAAGUCGAACGAGAAAGUGGAGCAAUCCAUGAGUAAAGUGGCGCACGGGUGAGUAACACGUGACUAACCUACCCUUGAGUGGGGGAUAACCUAGAGAAAUCUGGGCUAAUACCGCAUAAUACCUUCGGGUCAAAGGAGCAAUUCGCUUAAGGAGGGGGUCGCGGCCGAUUAGUUAGUUGGCGGGGUAAUGGCCCACCAAGACUGUGAUCGGUAUCCGGCCUGAGAGGGCGCACGGACACACUGGAACUGAAACACGGUCCAGACUCCUACGGGAGGCAGCAGUGGGGAAUUUUGCGCAAUGGGGGAAACCCUGACGCAGCAACGCCGCGUGGAGGAUGAAGUCCCUUGGGACGUAAACUCCUUUCGAUCGGGACGAUUAUGACGGUACCGGAAGAAGAAGCCCCGGCUAACUUCGCGCCAGCAGCCGC
rnacentral:rRNA from 1 species